CCUGGCAUGGUGGAAGGAAGAAAAGAUCAGACCAAGUGAGCCAAGAGGGAGUGUGCUUUGGGAGAUGGAUUGUAACAAUCACUAAAAGGAAUGUGUGAAAUAAGAAGCUGUGGAUUUUAUUUUUUUAUUUAUUUACGUCAUUUCUAUCUCGCCUUUCUCACUCGAGGGGACUCAAGGCGGCUUACAGAUCUGGCAAAGAUUCAAUGCCAAUAAAACAAAAAUACAAUACAGUAAAACAUAGAGCAAUUAAAAACAAGCUACUAAUAGCACCCCAUGGAAUGCUGGAAGGCAGACUAUGGGGUAAAGAAUAUAACCUUCAGGCUUGUGUGCUGAAGGAUAGACAGGGCCAGUGAGAGAGACAUAAGGGGUCAGGUAUAAAUAGGAAAAAAGGCAGUUGGGAAGGCAAGAAUGCAAAAGACAUGAACUGGGUCUUGAAGAAGCUGAGAAUAUGGAAUAAUGUUGAGAAUUCAGAGAAAAGUGUUACUUUCUUUAAACCUGACAGUUACUGCAUACUAUGUGUGAAACCCGCAUAAUGCCAGAUGUUUUAUUUUAUAUACUAGAAGUCUUUACUGAUUUUAUUUCGUGAAUUUGGGUCUGGAUGUUUUAAUAUAAUAAUUAACAAGGAAAACUAGCCAUGCAUUAUCACCCCAAACCCGCUGAUCAACAUGUCCAUUUACAGUGGUCAUGUUGUGGCCUGGCUGUCAGAUCUGGGCUCAAAUGGCAAAGUGAGUGCUAAGAGGUUUGGGACUGCACAGCCAAACUGGAUUUAUCACAGCAGCAUUUUUGGAAGUUGCCUUGGAUUCCAUGCUGGGAGAAAUUCAGAAUAUAAAGCACACACACAGCCUGGCCAACCCAUUUUUCUCCUCCACAAUACCUUGCAGCCUGUUGAGAAGCCACAUUAGCUGCUUCUUGGAAAUGUUGGUCCAGCUAAGGUCAAGACUGGCUGGUUGCCGGCGGAUGAUGCCACUCAGCAUGGAGGGAGUGAUGGAUUUUCGUCGGCUGAGGUCAAUGUGUGUCCAAAGCCGCUUGUCACAGCACCUGGAAUGGGACAGAGACCAGUAAAGAGGAAACAGUCAAUCAAUUCAGCAAGCCAGAGACAGCAUGCAAGAGACUAUACAUAUGGGAGAAGGAGGAAGGAGAGAAAAUCUGUACUAUAACUUAAAAUGUCUGCUCAUUAUGCUAUAACAAGGGUGCAAAAUGAGGCAACCCUCCAGAUGCUAUUGGACUCAAUAUCCAGAAUACAAGCCAGCCUGGCAAUGGGGGAGGGGGGGAACCAACAUCUGAAGGGCUACACUCUCUUGACUCUAUUUAAUAUACUUUGAAUCAGAGCUUUCCAAAUACUUUAUGUUGGUGACACACUUUUUAGACAUGUAUCAUUUCAUGACACAGGAACUGAGUUUUACUAGCAAACCAGAGGUUAACUAAUCUCUUAUAACAGAUAUGGACACAUACAUAAAUUAUAAUAAUGAAAUGUUUGGGGACACAACAUAUUCCAUUAUAGUGAUUUUAAAGAAAAUUGCUAUAAAGAGCUCAGCUAAAAGAUAUAAAACCAGGAAAGAUUUAUUCUGGAAAUCUGAAAGAGAAAGGUAUCCCCUACCAUAUGUAAUGAAAAUGGUAUUGAAAUUUUACAAUUAGAACUAGAAUUUAUGCUGUGUCUUUUCAACGUGAUAUAUGUACUAAUUAAUAAACCUACAAGGAAAAUAAAGGUGUAUUUGAUCACAACUGCAAGAAUAGUACUUGCAAAAAACUGGAAAAUAACUGAAGUAACUUCCAUCCAUGACUAGCAACUGAAAUUAAGAGAAGUGAUGCAAAUGGACAAAGAAACUAGGACAGUGGUUCUCAACCUGUGGGUCCCCAGAUGUUUUGGCCUUCAACUCCCAGCAAUCUUAACAGCUGGUAAACUGGCUGGGAUUUCUGGGAGUUGUAGGCCAAAACACCUGGGGGCCCACGGGUUGAGAACCACUGAACAAGGAUAAUGAAGGGGACCACUCUCUAAACAGUGAGGAAAGAGUGAGAGAAAGGGGGAAAAUAUUUUAAGGAAUAUGUCUAAUAGCAGGAAAGGUAAAAAUUUCAACCAAGAAAUAAAACAUGAGUGGGGAAUUUAUGGGAAUAGUGAAUAUUGAUAUAAAAAGGACUAUAAAAGUCUUAAAAAACAUUUAAGUUAGAGGAAAUAAGGAAGCAGUAGUAGUCUCUGUGAACAAAACAAAAAACAAAACAAAAAACAUUAGGUAUUCCAGCUCUAUUUUUAUGAAAUGGAAAGCAAGAAGAUUAAGGAAGAACCUCUACCUCACAAGAGAAGAAAGGAAGUCUAGACAAGACAUUGAAGGAAUAUCUUUAUUUUUAUUAUUUAAUUCGACUAUGUUAUGUGUGUUUGGUUUAAAUAUGUCCUUUUUCUUUAUCCUCCUUGGUGAUGUAUGCUCUUUUUUUCUUGAAACUCAGUAAAAAUAUUGUUUAAAAACGUAUCUCAUUAAAACCUUUCAUUUAAAUUUUUAAAAAAAAUAUAUGAUCUGUGAUAUACAUUCCCAAAAUGUUUGUCAAUUUGUGUUUCAUUUUCAUGACACACCUAUACUCUGCACCCAACACACAAAUGUGUCGUGACACACAAUUUGAAAAGCUAUGCUUUAAAUGCUUUUAAAUUGUUUCAAAUUAGUGACAUUUUAAGAGCAUAAUUUAUUCCAUUUUCAAAAACAGUUUUAUCAUAAUCUCUUUCUAUGUGCACAUCUGUUUUAAUCCAUGUUUGAGCUACCUUUGGUCUUUUAUUGGGAUAAAAGAGGGAUAUAAAAUCAAAAUGAUAUUGCUCUUCUUACAUAAUUGUGCUUUUGCUUGUAAAAGGAAGAGGCAAACAAUUUCACACAGUGUUGAGAAUCAGUAUGGGGGAUAGAUUUUUCUUCUGGUGCAUGGAAAGAAAGCAGUGGUAUUGUUGCAGUAUCAAUAUAUUCAAGUGAGUUCAGUUCACAGUUGUUAAGGGCGUGGAGGGCUCCCACAGGGCAGAUGUUUCCUGCUCAGUUAAAAUAAUCAAAACAGGGAGGAGGAGGAAGUCUACUUUUAGAUUUUGACAGUGACGAUAUCAAAGAAUUCUUACUCCAGCAUAUAGAUGAGAAAGAGCUACUAUAAGUCAUUAAUGCACAGCUGCUUGCCCCUUAGGGCUGUGGGGCUUUUAUGAAGUGGUAUGAAGAAAAUCUCUCCUGCCAACAUCUACAUAGUUCACUGUUUUGCACAGUACGGUGGCCCCAAAGGCAACUACUGCAAAUAUUUUAGGCAGCCACCAAGUGGGAAUUGUUUCACACACACCCCAGCUUUGCAUUUCUAUAUUAAGAUUGUAUACUAGCACCAUCCUUGAAUCAUGCUUUUUACAACAAGCCUUUGCAUUGCUAAACAAGAUCAUUGGCAUCUAAUAUGUGUCCAUCCAAGUUGGAAACAGAGCAUAAAUCAGCCUUCCUGAAGGAGAAGCAACCCAAAUGCAUUGGACUACACCCCAAGCAGUACAUCAGAAUAUGGGCUUUAUAGUUCAAUUUGCCUAAAGGACAUUGGGUUGAUGGGCAGCUGCAGAAAGUUGAAAGAAUUUGAACAGGAAGGACCAUAUUCUCACAUAUGAAUCGGUCAAGCACCUGGAGCCUUAGGGAGAUGUCCUUCUCAUAUUAUGCCCCACAUUAGCAUGCUUGAUUCAAAUGUGGGAGAGGACUUUCUCGGUGGAUGUCCCGAAGCUUCAGAAAUCUUUUAUUAGAGUCUAGUCCAGUGUGUACUAUCAGCAAAUGUAGACUUCUUGUUUUGUUUUGUUUUAACAGGUCUCUAGGAACUACCUAUUUAAGGAUGUUCAUUCAUUGUUUUGUAUCACUCUUGUUUCUUGCUUUAUAGUGAAGGACAUUGGGUUGAUAAAAGGCUGCAGAAAGAGGACAGUUUAAAUAUGAAGAGAACCACAUUCUCCUGAGGGGGGAAAGCCACCCUCAUCUUAUGUACCUCAUUGGCACAUUUAAUAACAAAUGUGGGAGAACCUUCCCAAUGGCUGUCUCCCAGGGUCUGGAACUCUCUCUUGCCUGGCUCUCUCCAUCAGCAGAAGUAGACUUUAAUUUUAGCAAGUUGGUGCUGUAUCACUCUUGACUUUUAAUGAAUACAUUUUAGAUCUACUGACAGUAUGAUUAUAUUUUACAUUGUUAUAUGUUUUCAUUGAUAACCUCUUUGAACUGUAUCUCUUUAAAAUUUUGCCACCCACUCAGUCCCAGGAUUGGAAAAAGGACAGGUUACAAUUAAAUCAAGUAAGAAUAAUGAAUAAUAAAAGUGGAUACAUAUCUCAUUGUUGCUGUUAAGACUUUGUUUCCACAUACAAAAUAAAUGACAGCACAUUUCA